UGUGGAAUUUUUCUGCGAAGAUUCAAAUCAAACUUGAAUAAAAGAAUGGUCUUUUAUUGUAAAAAAAAAAUAAUUAGAAGCUUCAAAUCCUAAAAUAGAAACGGAAAUUUAAAAAUAAUACGUAUUUUUAUUAAUGUUAACCUUUCACAAAAAUGAAUGUUUGUAAAGUUGUGUUCUAUAAGUUACUUAUUUGCCAAAUAACCAAAAAAAUGGAAAAUUAGAUUUUGGAAAAAAGUUGUUCAAACAAAUCUUUCACAAAUCGUCGAAAAAAAACUUUAACAAAAAAAAAGAAAAGAAUUGUUCAAAAAAAAAAAAUUUGGAAAAGAAAGUAGAGAAGAGUGCAAUUUCUCUUCUUUUUUUCUUUUUCACUUUAGCAAACCGAGUUACCAUAAUGAUUAUUGAUUGGACAACCAAGUUUGUCAUAGUGUUUUUACAGAGUUUUAUCAUAAAAAACAAAUAAAAACACAUUCAACAUCCAGACAAGAGAAAAGUGUUAAAAAAGGAGGCAUUGCAUGAGACAAGUUAAUAACACGAGACAGCAUUUGAGAGAGAAAGAGAGCGAGAGAUUUCUAGUCCGUAGUCUUGAUCUUCUGAUUGGUUUUAGAAUUAUCCACAAAAGCCAAAGCUACGUGCAGUUGCGAGAGAGAUGCCAGUCUCUAUCACAGUUUCUGG